rnacentral:rRNA from 1 species
CAAGGAAUUUUCCCCAAUGGGCGCAAGCCUGAGGGAGCAACGCCGCGUGCAGGACGACGGCCUUCGGGUUGUAAACUGCUUUUGCGUGGGACGAUAACGACGGUACCACGCGAAUCAGCCCCGGCUAACUCUGUGCCAGCAGCCGCGGUAAUACAGAGGGGGCAAGCGUUGUCCGGACUUACUGGGCGUAAAGCGCACGCAGGUGGUAACGCAAGUGGGGUGUGAAAGCCGCCAGCUCAACUGGCGGUGGCCAUCCCAAACUGCGUCGCUUGAGGCCUGUAGAGGUAUGGGGAAGGUUCCGUGUAGGUGUGUAAUGCGUUGGCAUCGGGAGGAAGAAACAGGGGGAUACCAGCAUACUGGACAGGUCCUGACACUCAGGUGCGACAGCGUGGCGAGCGAACCGGAUUAGAUACCCCUGUAGUCG